rnacentral:rRNA from 1 species
UACGUAGGCAGCGAGCGUUGUUCGGAAUUACUGGGCGUAAAGAGUGUGUAGGCGGUGCUCCAAGUCUGGUGUGAAAUCUCCCGGCUUAACUGGGAGGGUGCGCCGGAAACUGGAGUGCUAGAGGGUGGGAGAGGUAAGCGGAAUUCCUGGUGUAGCGGUGAAAUGCGUAGAUAUCAGGAGGAACACCUGUGGUGUAGACAGCUUACUGGACCACUUCUGACGCUGAGACACGAAAGCGUGGGUAGCAAACAGG